CAAUUAGAACAUUCAGUUGGUGAAUAACUGUUUUUAGCUGCAAAGUUACAGUUGCAUGCUCUUGAUGUUUAAUAAUCCAUGAAAGAUUUAUAUUUCAAAUGAGUUCUGUUCUUUUAAAAUUCAUCAAAGAAUCCUGAGAAUAAAAUAAAAAAAGAAUCAGCAUAUUAGAAUGAUUUCUGAAAGAUCAUAUGACACUGAAGACUGGAGUAAUGAAUGCUUUAAAUACAGAUAUGUCAUCACAUGAAUAAAUUGCAAUUUAGAAUAUAUUAUAAUAGAAAACAUUAAAAACAUAAAAAACCUUUUGAAUAUUAGUGUGAGCUAAAAUCCCAAACUUUUGAAUGGUAGUGGAGGUCAAAAUCCGAAACUUUUCAAUGGUAGUGUAGGUCAAAAUCCCAAACUUUUGAAUAGUAGUGUAGGUCAAAAUCCUAAACUUUUGAAUUGUAGUGUAGGUCAAAAUCCCAAACUUUUGAAUAGUAGUGUUUGAAUAGUAGUGUGAGUCAAAGUCCCAAACUUUUGAAUGGUAGUGUAGGUCAAAAUCCCAAACUUUUGAAUAGUAGUGUAGGUCAAAAUCCCAAACUUUUGAAUGGUAGUGUGAGUCAAAAUCCCAAACUUUUGAAUGGUAGUGUUGGUCAAAAUCCCAAACUUUUGAAUGGUAAUCCCAAACUUUUGAAUGGUAGUGUAGGUCAAAAUCCCAAACUUUUGAAUGGUAGUGUGAGUCAAAAUCCCAAACUUUUGAAUGGUAGUGUUGGUCAAAAUCCCAAACUUUUGAAUGGUAAUCCCAAACUUUUGAAUGGUAGUGUAGGUCAAAAUCCCAAACUUUUGAAUAGUAGUGUAGGUCAAAAUCCCAAACUUUUGAAUGGUAGUGUUGGUCAAAAUCCCAAACUUUUGAAUGGUAGUGUAGGUCAAAAUCCCAAACUUUUGAAUGGUAGUGUGAGUCAAAAUCCCAAACUUUUGAAUAGUAGUGUAGGUCAAAAUCCCAAACUUUUGAAUGGUAGUGUAGGUCAAAAUCCCAAACUUUUGAAUAGUAGUGUGAGUCAAAAUCCCAAACUUUUGAAUGGUAGUGUAGGUCAAAAUCCCAAACUUUUGAAUAGUAGUGUUGGUCAAAAUCCUAAACUUUUGAAUAGUAGUGUUGGUCAAAAUCCUAAACUUUUGAAUAGUAGUGUAGGUCAAAAUCCCAAACUUUUGAAUGGUAGUUUGAGUCAAAAUCCUAAGCUUUUGAAUGGUAGUGUAGGUCAAAAUAGUUGAGAUGUCCACCUCCAGUGAGAUUGAAGGACAGACAGGUUAGUUUGCUCUGUGUGACCACCAUGAUGGCGUGCUGCCAAAUGCUCACACAAGACACAACCAACACAUGCCAUUCCACUGUCCUCCUCUUUUCACUCUUUGUUUCUCUCUCUUCUGUUAAACUCCCACUGCCCUCUCAGCAGAGCUCAGCUGGACUUGCUAUCACUGAUAUCUAAAUAGUGAAGAUCCGGAUAGGUUUAGGUUUUUAAGAGUUUUACUUGUAUUUCAGGACAGUACAGUUUUUGCUCUUUGUCUUUUGAGUAAUAGGUUUUAUAGAUUAGAUUUCAAAUAUAUUUUCGUCUACUUAGUAAGUUAAUGCAUGUAUUAUAAUAAUUAUUAGAACUGUAUUUGAAUAUACACUAAGUAGGCUAUACAUUAGAAAUAGAUGAAAACAGUGGAGCUCUGGCAUGUAAAGGGUGUAGGUUUGGAGUUCAGAGACAUCGGUUGUUCUGAUUAUAGUGUAGGUCGUGUAGCGUAGCCAUUAGAGAAUUACAGCUCUCGGUUAGUGAGAUGGGUCCUGUCUGGGUCAGAACAAAGAUUUCCUUUAGGAGAUAGAGAAAAGCUAAUCUCUGUUUGGGACGUGUUUAUUCUGAAGUGGAAAUGACAGUGUUGUAGAUGCAAGCAUUUGGGAGAUGAUCUAGGUCAGGUGCAGUAAUAGGGUGCUGUACCUCUCGC